rnacentral:rRNA from 1 species
ACGUAGGGUGCGAGCGUUAAUCGGAAUUACUGGGCGUAAAGCGUGCGCAGGCGGUUUGAUAAGCCAGAUGUGAAAUCCCCGGGCUUAACCUGGGAACUGCAUUUGGAACUGUCAGACUAGAGUAUAGCAGAGGGGGGUAGAAUUCCACGUGUAGCAGUGAAAUGCGUAGAGAUGUGGAGGAAUACCAAUGGCGAAGGCAGCCCCCUGGGUUAAUACUGACGCUCAUGCACGAAAGCGUGGGGAGCAAACAGGAUUAGAUACCCUGGUAGUCCACGCCCUAAACGAUGUCAACUAGGUGUCGGGAAGCAAUUCCUUGGUAACGAAGCUAACGCGUGAAGUUGACCGCCUGGGGAGUACGGCCGCAAGGUUA